rfam:Picea glauca, whole genome shotgun sequence.
GGGUGUGAUUAUAAUGAUGUUAAUGCACCAAAUCUCAUCAAAACUUCAUAGUUAAGUGCAUUUGGACUAGAUUAGUAUUGGGAUGGGUGACCUUUCAGGAAGUUCUAGUGUUGCACCCU